rnacentral:rRNA from 1 species
UUGAUCUCAAAUCAGGUAGGACUACCCGCUGAACUUAAGCAUAUCAAUAAGCGGAGGAAAAGAAACUAACAAGGAUUCCCCUAGUAACUGCGAGUGAAGCGGGAAGAGCUCAAAUUUAAAAUCUGGUGUGCCUCUGGUCACCCGAGUUGUAGUCUGGAGAAGCGUUUUCUGUGUUGGGCCGUGUAUAAGUCCCUUGGAACAGGGCGUCAUAGAGGGUGAGAAUCCCGUCUUUGACACGGACUGCCAAUGCUUUGUGAUGCGCUCUCAAAGAGUCGAGUUGUUUGGGAAUGCAGCUCAAAAUGGGUGGUAAAUUCCAUCUAAAGCUAAAUAUAGGCGAGAGACCGAUAGCGAACAAGUAC